AAGAUAGAGGUUGCAAUAUUAAAGAGUAAUAUUAUGGAGAUAAGCACGAUGAAUUAAUAUGAAAGGUAAUAUUGCCGAAAUAUAUAGAGGAUGCUUUAAAUCUAUAUAUUGGGUUUGCAUAAAAUAUGUGCAAAACUGUCACAAUAUAAUUGUGGAGAGCUAUCUU
rnacentral:ncRNA from 1 species